rnacentral:tRNA from 1 species
UGCAACGAGGCGCACAAGCGCACUUGCAUGGGGUGCAAGGGGUCGGAGGUUCAAAUCCUCUCGUUCCGACCA